rnacentral:sRNA from 1 species
GAUACAAGGGUCAAAAGGUCAGAACUCGUUCCUGCUUGCAGGAUAAGAGCUCUGACUUGUUGACCCGCACACACAUGAGGACUGUCACCAAUGUUUGAUUGAUGACCCUGUGAUUUUCCCUGGAAAAUCAACGGAUUCCGAAUGUGUGUAGAAUUGCGGGAGUUGCGUAGCAACGGAGCAAUUCGU